rnacentral:tRNA from 2 species
GGGGGCAUAGAAAUCAUGCUUUGGGAGAGCGCUUGAAUGGCAUUCAAGAGGUCAGCGGUUCGAUCCCGCUUAUCUCCACCA